CCUACGUGCGACAGCAGUAGGGAAUAUUGCUCAAUGGGGGAAACCCUGAAGCAGCAACGCCGCGUGGAGGAUGAAGGUUUUAGGAUUGUAAACUCCUUUUGUUAGAGAAGAUUAUGACGGUAUCUAACGAAUAAGCUCCGGCUAACUCCGUGCCAGCAGCCGCGGUAAUACGGAGGGUGCCAGCGUUACUCGGAAUCACUGGGCGUAAAGAGUGCGUAGGCGGGGUAAUAAGUCGGUUGUGAAAUCCUGUAGCUUAACUGCAGAACUGCAUUUGAAACUGUUACUCUUGAGUAUAGGGGAGGUAGGUGGAAUUCGUGGUGUAGGGGUAAAAUCCGGAGAGAUCAAGAGGAAUACUCAUUGCGAAGGCGACCUGCUGGAACAUUACUGACGCUGAUGCACGAAAGCGUGGGGAUCAAACAGGAUUAGAUACCCGUGUAGUC
rnacentral:rRNA from 1 species